rnacentral:rRNA from 1 species
GACGAACGCUGGCGGCGUGCCUAAUACAUGCAAGUAGAACGCUGAAGAGAGGAGCUUGCUCUUCUUGGAUGAGUUGCGAACGGGUGAGUAACGCGUAGGUAACCUGCCUUGUAGCGGGGGAUAACUAUUGGAAACGAUAGCUAAUACCGCAUAACAAUGGAUGACACAUGUCAUUUAUUUGAAAGGGGCAAUUGCUCCACUACAAGAUGGACCUGCGUUGUAUUAGCUAGUAGGUUAGGUAAUGGCUCACCUAGGCGACGAUACAUAGCCGACCUGAGAGGGUGAUCGGCCACACUGGGACUGAGACACGGCCCAGACUCCUACGGGAGGCAGCAGUAGGGAAUCUUCGGCAAUGGGGCAAACCUGAACGAGCAACGCCGCGUGAGGGGAGAAGGUUUUCGGAUCGUAAAGCUCUGUUGUAAGUCAAGAACGGGAGUGAGAGUGGAAAGUGCACACUGUGACGGUAGCUUAGCAGAAAGGGACGGCUAACUACGUG